UNUCUGGGCCGUUACUGACGCUGAGGAGCGAAAGCGUGGGGAGCGAACAGGAUUAGAUACCCUGGUAGUCCACGCUGUAAACGUUGGGCACUAGGUGUGGGGGCCACCCGUGGUUCCCGCGCCGUAGCUAACGCUUUAAGUGCCCCGCCUGGGGAGUACGGCCGCAAGGCUAAAACUCAAAGGAAUUGACGGGGGCCCGCACAAGCGGCGGAGCAUGCGGAUUAAUUCGAUGCAACGCGAAGAACCUUACCAAGGCUUGACAUGCGCCCCGGGCGCGCGGAGACGCGCGCGCAUUUGGUUGGGGGUGUGCAGGUGGUGCAUGGUUGUCGUCAGCUCGUGUCGUGAGAUGUUGGGUUAAGUCNNNCAACGAGCGCAACCCUUGCCCUAUGUUGCCAGCGCGUUGUGGCGGGGACUCGUGGGGGACUGCCGGGGUUAACUCGGAGGAAGGUGGGGAUGACGUCAAAUCAUCAUGCCCCUUAUGUCUUGGGCUUCACGCAUGCUACAAUGGCCGGUACAGAGGGUUGCGAUGCCGUGAGGCGGGGCGAAUCCCUUAAAGCCGGUCUCAGUUCGGAUUGGGGUCUGCAACUCGACUCCAUGAAGGUGGAGUCGCUAGUAAUCGCAGAUCAGCAACGCUGCGGUGAAUACGUUCUCGGGCCUUGUAC
rnacentral:rRNA from 1 species